rnacentral:rRNA from 1 species
CGACACCCAUUUUCUUUAUACCCUAGUAUUCAUUUGGCUAUGUUUGAUUGGUUUUAGGUUGGGGUGACCACGGAGCAUAAAAUAACCUCCACGAAGAAGAGACUAAUAAUCUUUAUCAAAGAAGUACACUUCUAAGAAUUAACAAAUUAAUUUCCAAUGAUCCGAUAUUCGAUCAACGAACCAAGUUACCCUGGGGAUAACAGCGCAAUCCACCUCAAGAGCUCCUAUCGACAGGUGGGUUUACGACCUCGAUGUUGGAUCAGGAUAUCCCAGUGGUGUAGCAGCUACUAAAGGUUCGUUUGUUCAACGAUUAAAAUCCU